rnacentral:rRNA from 1 species
GCCCAGACUCCUACGGGAGGCAGCAGUGGGGGAUAUUGCACAAUGGGGGAAACCCUGAUGCAGCGACGCCGCGUGGGCGAAGAAGUAUUUCGGUAUGUAAAGCCCUCUCAGCAGGGAAGAAGAAAUGACGGUACCUGAGUAAGAAGCACCGGCUAAAUACGUGCCAGCAGCCGCGGUAAUACGUAUGGUGCAAGCGUUAUCCGGAUUCACUGGGUGUAAAGGGAGCGUAGACGGCGACGCAAGUCUGGAGUGAAAGCCCGGGGCCCAACCCCGGGACUGCUCUGGAAACUGCGUCGCUGGAGUGCGGGAGGGGCAGGCGGAAUUCCUGGUGUAGCGGUGAAAUGCGUAGAUAUCAGGAGGAACACCGGCGGCGAAGGCGGCCUGCUGGACCGUGACUGACGUUGAGGCUCGAAAGCGUGGGGAGCGAACAGGAUUAGAUACCCCUGUA